rnacentral:rRNA from 1 species
UUAGCCAUGCUAGUUGCACGAGUUCAGACUCGUAGCAUAUAGCUCAGUAACACGUGGUCAAACUACCCUACAGACCGCGAUAACCUCGGGAAACUGAGGCCAAUAGCGGAUAUAACUCUCAGGCUGGAGUGCCGAGAGUUAGAAACGUUCCGGCGCUGUAGGAUGUGGCUGCGGCCGAUUAGGUAGAUGGUGGGGUAACGGCCCACCAUGCCGAUAAUCGGUACAGGUUGUGAGAGCAAGAGCCUGGAGACGGUAUCUGAGACAAGAUACCGGGCCCUACGGGGCGCAGCAGGCGCGAAACCUUUACACUGCACGACAGUGCGAUAGGGGGACUCCGAGUGUGAGGGCAUAUAGCCCUCGCUUUUCUGAACCGUAAGGUGGUUCAGGAACAAGGACUGGGCAAGACCGGUGCCAGCCGCCGCGGUAAUACCGGCAGUCCAAGGGAUGGCCGAUAUUAUUGGGCCUAAAGCGUCCGUAGCUUGCUGUGUAAGUCCAUUGGGAAAUCGACCCACUUCAACUGGUCGGCGUCCGGUGGAAACUACACGGUUGGGGC